rnacentral:misc_RNA from 1 species
AGAUAAGGUCGCUCUCGCUGAUGCAACAGGGCUAGAUCAGAAGCAGAUAAAUAACUGGUUUAUAAAUCAAAGGAAGAGGCAUUGGAAACCAUCGGAGAACAUGCAGUUUGCUGUUGUGGAGAGUAUAUAUGGACCAUUUUUCAUGAAUGACUGAGGACUGGGGGGAUUUUGCUUUAACUUUGGCUCGUUUUUUGUACAUUCUUGGACAAAUUCAAGCUGAUGCUUGCCAAAUCAAGUGCUAAUGCUUAAUUAUCACUUCAAUU